AAGCCAGCAAGCUGGGCCUGAAAGCAUGGCCCAAAUGCUCUCAAGCUCUGGUGGAAAAAUGUGCAAUUCAUCCAUCAUCCAAAGUAUUCCAACCCAGCAUAUAGGGAGGAAGCUUCAGUACGUGAUAGAAAACUCAUAUGCUGUCAGGCCUUUGGAUUGGGCGAGGAUAAACAUAUGCUAGUUGGAGGAAGUGGUCCAGAUUUUGUGGCUGACAAUAAUGAGGAGGAUCGAUGGUUUUCAUGGAGAGAUGCUAAAUGGCCCUGGUGUUGAAUGAUAACAGUAAGCCACUGUGUUUUGAGAUUAGCUCUUGCCAAAUUAAAUUCUGAGAAAUUUUUCAUUAUCUCAUUCUGUCUUUAUGUUUUCCGUUUCUCUAGGGAGAAAGUUGAUAUUUGACAUGCAUAUGCUGAGUUGUGAAGGACUUUGAAUUACCUCACAUGUUCAAGGAUUCCUCAUUUCUUGCUAUUAUUUCCCGUAUGGAAAAUGUUUAUUUCUAUAAUUUUCUAAUGAAGAUGGUCCUUUUAUUGUGUUGAAGUAACUAUUGAUUUUCUAACGGUAAAUUGGGUGGGGCAGGUUCUAUGCCGAAUGAGCUAAGGAUGUGUUUGUAUGAGAAUAUUUGGAAGUACCAAGAAUUAAAAUCUCAAAAUUUUUAUCUUUACUCCUCUGGAUCAUGGAAAAAUAUCAAGGGUAAAUUGUCAAAUUCUUAAAGUUAUAUUUUA